rnacentral:rRNA from 1 species
GAUGAACGCUGGCGGCGUGCUUAACACAUGCAAGUCGAACGGUGAAGGCGGAGCUUGCUCUGCUGGAUCAGUGGCGAACGGGUGAGUAACACGUGAGUAAUCUGCCCCUGACUCUGGGAUAAGCGCUGGAAACGGCGUCUAAUACCGGAUACGAGCUGCGAAGGCAUCUUCAGCAGCUGGAAAGUAUUUCGGUGAGGGAUGAGCUCGCGGCCUAUCAGCUUGUUGGUGAGGUAGUGGCUUACCAAGGCGUCGACGGGUAGCCGGCCUGAGAGGGUGACCGGCCACACUGGGACUGAGACACGGCCCAGACUCCUACGGGAGGCAGCAGUGGGGAAUAUUGCACAAUGGGCGAAAGCCUGAUGCAGCAACGCCGCGUGAGGGACGACGGCCUUCGGGUUGUAAACCGCUUUUAGCAGGGAAGAAGCGAAAGUGACGGUACCUGCAGAAAAAGCGCCGGCUAACUACGUG